UAGCGUUGCGGUCCCACCUGAUCCCAUGCCGAACUCAGAAGUGAAACGCAACCGCGCCGAUGGUAGUGUGGGAGUUCCCAUGUGAGAGUAGGUCAUUGCCAGAC
rnacentral:rRNA from 1 species